AGAGAGAGAGAGAUGAGUUGGUCAAUCGGAAUCGGAGACUUUUGGUGUCUUUUCCGUCUAUCCCGGAUAUUAGUUUGACAACCUAGUUACAAGUGUUGAUGAAGCUGUUCAUUCAGAAAAAGAUCUUAGCUCCGAAGUUGCGUGCACAUUGAUUCGGCAUGCAAAAAAAGAAAUGGCAAAAUAAAAAUUUAUAAAUUGAAUGUUAAAGGAAACAACUAUGUUGUCACUUUUUUUAAUUGAUGAAAUAUCAUUAAAUAACGACAUUUGGUUUCAAAAUAAUUG
rnacentral:lncRNA from 1 species